AUCCCUGUAGCGCAAUGGAUAGCGUGUUCGACUUCUAAUUCAAAGGUUGUGGGUUCGAAUUCCACCUGGGAUG